rnacentral:rRNA from 1 species
GAUGAACGCUGGCGGCGUGCCUAAUACAUGCAAGUCGAGCGAACGGACGAGAAGCUUGCUUCUCUGAUGUUAGCGGCGGACGGGUGAGUAACACGUGGAUAACCUACCUAUAAGACUGGGAUAACUUCGGGAAACCGGAGCUAAUACCGGAUAAUAUUUUGAACCGCAUGGUUCAAAAGUGAAAGACGGUCUUGCUGUCACUUAUAGAUGGAUCCGCGCUGCAUUAGCUAGUUGGUAAGGUAACGGCUUACCAAGGCAACGAUGCAUAGCCGACCUGAGAGGGUGAUCGGCCACACUGGAACUGAGACACGGUCCAGACUCCUACGGGAGGCAGCAGUAGGGAAUCUUCCGCCAUGGGCGAAAGCCUGACGGAGCAACGCCGCUUGAGUGAUGAAGUUCUUCGGAUCGUAAAACUCUGUUAUUAGGGAAGAACAUAUGUGUAAGUAACUGUGCACAUCUUGACGGUACCUAAUCAGAAAGCCACGGCUAACUACGUG